rnacentral:rRNA from 1 species
GGCUCAUUAAAUCAGUUGCGAUCUACUCGGCGUUCCGCGCCGCCGGAUAACCGUAGUAAUUCUAGGGCUAAUACGUGCGAAGCGCCCGAAGCCGCGAGGCGACGGGCGUUCUCGCCGGAUGUAGGAACCGACCCGGGGACCGCCGGGGCAACCCGGCGCCCCCGAGACGGGGCGAACCACGGUGAAAUGACGGAUCGUCGGCCCCGCGCCGGCGACUCGCCGAAUGAGUUUCUGACCUAUCAACUCGAGACGGCGGGGUAGAGGCCCGCCGCGGUAACGACGGGUAACGGGGAAUCAGGGUUCGAUUCCGGAGAGGGAGCCCGAGAAACGGCUACCACUUCCAAGGAAGGCAGCAGGCGCGCAACUUACCCUAAUCUCGAUUCGAGGAGGUAGUGACAAGAAAUACCGAUGCGGGACCCUACGGGUGCCGCGUUCGGAAUGAGUACGAUUCGAACCACCUAACGAGGAACGAUCGGAGGGCAAGUCUGGUGCCAGCAGCCGCGGU